UACGAAGGGGGCUAGCGUUGUUCGGAAUUACUGGGCGUAAAGCGCACGUAGGCGGAUAUUUAAGUCAGGGGUGAAAUCCCAGAGCUCAACUCUGGAACUGCCUUUGAUACUGGGUAUCUCGAGUAGUGGAAGAGGUGAGUGGAAUUCCGAGUGUGAGAAGGUGAAAUUCGUAGAUAUUCGGAGGAACACCAGUGGCGAAGGCGGCUCACUGGUCCAUUACUGACGCUGAGGUGACGAAAGCGUGGGGAGCAAACAGG
rnacentral:rRNA from 1 species